UCCUGGUUAGCUCAGUUGGUAGACCGCUUUACUGGAAAUGGAGAGGUCUCUGGUUCAAUACCAGGACCAGGCG
rnacentral:tRNA from 2 species